GCGGAGCCCUGGCCCCCAGCUCCCCUGUCUGAUCUGUUAGCUAGCGAGCUGGGUCCCUGUUACCACGUUUACAAAGCGCUUGGCACACACAGGGAGAAGUUCCCUGGGGAGGUCUCAGUCCUUGCUGGCAGAGAGGCUGGCUCCUCCUGGCCUGCUGAGAGACCCUCUCUCUGGAAGAACAAAGCCUGUUCCUCCACGGCCACGCCCACAGGCGGAUUCUUUACCAGCUGAGUCACCAGGAAUCCCUAAAGAGGAUAUUGCUCCAUCACUAAUAAAACCUGAACAGCAGUUCUCAACUUUCCGUCUGCCUAAGAAUCAACUGGAAAUCUGUUAAAAUGCAGACUCCUGGGCCCCAGCUGCAGAUCUAGCAGGAUCUCUGAGAGUAAGGCCCAGGGAUUUGCAGCCCAAAGUCCACAGGUGUUUCAAGAAUGACACGUUCCAAGACUGCUGGGGAACAAUGUUUUUUUUUUUUUAAUUACUUUUGGCUGUUCUGGGUUUUUAAUGCUUUGCGGGGCUGUCUCUAGUUGCAGAGAGCAAGGGCUACUCUUCAUUGCUUGCACAGUCCUCCCAUCGUGGUGGCCUCUGUCCUUGAGGAACACAGGCUACAGGCUCCCAAGCCCUCAAGUGCCGGCUCAGUAGUUGUGGAGCACCGGGGCUUAGUUGCUUCAUGACAUGUGGAAUCUUCCCCCACCAGGGAUGGAACGUGCGUCCCCUGCACUGGCAGGCGGAUGCCUAGACACUGUGCCACCAGGGAAGUCCCAGAACAAUGUUUAAUAA
ensembl:lncRNA